UCUGAGCAAUAUGCUCAUAGUUGUUGAUUGUUUUUUGCAGCCGGGAGAUGGAACGGGAGCUCGCUCCAUCUGCUCCAUGCAUCGGCCUGGUAUUGCACUAUUUCUGGGAUUGGUGC
rnacentral:snRNA from 1 species